rnacentral:tmRNA from 1 species
GGGGCUGCUUAGACUCGACAAAAGUUCUUUUUCAAGUGAUUGCAAGUCUUGCUUCGUUGCCGUACGCAAGUAAAACUCGCGGUGACAUUAUACAAAUGCCAACUCAUUUGUCGCUAAAGUAAAGAACGCUUUCGCGUCACUUGCUCUAGCACCAGCAAUCGCUUAAUACCGGUUGCGGUCAAACCGAUAACACCGAUAAUCGGGGCGACCUAUCAUUUUCGGUUAUAUCGCCCGUUUCCGCGUGAAGGCGGGUGACGAAAGUUAUCACGACCGUUGCCUCUGUAUUUUUUUGGUUUUAAGCUUGGGCAACCAGACAAAUUAAACCAAGUAAACUUGUAGACGUCGCUUGAAUCUGCUUUUGGACGCGGGUGCAAUUCCCGCCAGCUCCAUUC